AGGGCUCACUGGUGCAAUGGCUGAAAAAGUUACAAGAGGAUUAUAAUCACACUGAACGGAAUUCAAAAAACCUGGCAACUCAUCAAGUUGUACCAACUCCUUUGGUAGAGUUCAUCUUUAUAACAAGUAAAGCACUUGAGCUGCCUUUAGAAGUGAAAUUCUUGGCUGUGGAUCUAUUUGACAGAUUGCUUCAAAAUUCAUCCCAGAAAACUCAGCUGACUCUAAGAUUUUGAGCUCAAGAAUGAUCUAUGAAUUUACAAAAGAGGAUGCAGCAUUUUCAUUACAAGACAUUAAUAAAUCUGAAAUGAGAGUGUUUAGAACUUUGAAUUUUCAGAUCGGAGGGGCAACAAUCAUAACUUUUGUUGAUGCUCUUAUUUUGGGAUUGUACAAGCACAUGUAUGGUUCUGCUGAAUACAAUCACAUACUUCAAAAAUGUUACCAAAUGUGUGAGGUUGUGUAUCUGAAUCAUCAAGAAAUAUACACACAUUUUUUUCACAAACUGACAGCGCUAUGGGAUAGAUCACAUGCAGAUAGGCUAAGUUUCUGCUCAGUAGAAUGCAAUGGACUAGUCAAAGGAGCUGCAAUAAUCUUAACGACUGCACGACUGUCGCAAAUACCAGAAGACAAAGAAAAGAUUCUGACGAACGAGCUCUCUAAGCUAACAACCUCGCCUGAACAAUGUAUCCAGGAACUAUCUGCCGUGAUUCUUCAUAUUAUUUGCCCCAGAACACACCAUCAAAAUAGUACAUUCACGCACAUUAAGAAUAUUUAG
rnacentral:lncRNA from 1 species